AUGAAACUUUCACCAAAGUCUGGCAUUCUCUGGAUUUAUGGUGCUUUCAAGAUAACUGGGAACUUGGAAAGAGGAAGGUUGAAUCAUGACGUCAGGGAUCUUCAUGUCGGAGCACUAGAAAGAGGCCAGAGUUCCCAACUUGGAAUUCCAAUUUGGAGCUCGUUUUUUCCCCGAGUUCCUAGCUGGAUCAGGGAGCCUCCUGUGACCAGUCUGGAGGUGCACUUCACCCCCCAUGCAGAGAGAGAGAGCUGGGGGAGUUCCUUUUACCACAUCAGUGCAGAAUCUCGUGACCGACCCAGGUUCCGGUUCCUGCACGAUCCAUAGGAGGCUGAGGUCGCCAUUAAGGAGGGGUCCUAUCUGCUGACCCCAGGUCAGUGUAUCGGAGGAGCCGCUGUAAGAACAGACUCUUCUUCUUCACAUUGGAUAUAGGCCAAUAUCAACAGUCUGAUCAACUCUAUGUGAAGAAGAUGUGUUACGCUGCAUGAGGCAAAUGGUGGUCACACCAGAUACUGACUGGUUUUCUGAUCCACACCCCUACUUCUUUUUUAAAGUUAUCUGUGACCAGCAUAUGCAUAUCUGUAUUCCCAGGAAUGUCAAAUCCAUCAGAUUAGGGCCUAAUUUAUUUAUUUAAAUUGACUGAUUUCCAUAUAUGAACUGUAACUCAGUAAAAUCCUUGAAAUUGUUACAUGUUUCAUUUAUAUUUUUGUUUUAAAAUUGUUUAAUUAAAACAUUGUUUUAUUUUUCUUGUAAAGAUAGAGUGCUUGUUGAAAUGGUUGGUUAUACCGUAUGAUCGUAACACUUUAUUUUACUAAGUAAGUUACAUUAUAGAGCAUUUAUUCCAAGCACCUCUAGGCUGGGAGAGAGCACCUCAGUACACUGCAAUGCACACUAUCACUUAUCAGAUGGAAUCUUUACGGUUGAGUUCUGUUUAGUAAUGGUAGUGAACACGCCUUUACUAUCUAAGUUAGAUUGUUACAGUUUUAAUAUCGACUCCGCUAUGAUAGGAUAUGGAUUCCAAAAUUGCUUCCAGUAUUUCCCUUGACCUUUGUCAACCUCUCAGCUUUAGUUAUCCAAUGUCCAGUACAAAGUAUUUUAAAUUCAGGAAUUUAUUGGGAACUUAAUUGCAUCUGUCUAUAUCCAGUGUGACAACAGUCUGUGGGAUUGGUCAACUUGUCAUUGUUGGAUGGAGUGGAGUGGUGGGCCUUUCAUUGUCUGGCAUAGAUUUACUACUAGAACCACUCCCCUUUCCAAUAGCAACAGCAAAUCACUCUUUCACACUACUACUUUGUAUUCUUGNNNNNNNNNNGAGAAAUGGAGAGGUAGAGAGAGAGGUAGAGAGAGGUAGAGAGAGUUGAAGAGAGUUAGAGAGAGAGGGGUAGAGAGAGAGAGGUAGAGAGAGAGAGAGAGAGGGAGAGGUAGAGAGAGAGAGAGAGGGAGAGAGAUAGAGAGAGAGGUAGAGAGAGGGAGAGGUAGAGAGAGAGGUAGAGAGAGAGGGAGAGGUAGAGAGAGAGGUAGAGAGAGAGGUAGAGACAGAUAGACAGACAGAGCAUUUUGUUACGUUGGAUAUUCAAAUGAUUGAUCUGAUAUUAUAUUGGUUAUAGAAAUGAUUGAUCUGAUAUUAUAUUGGUUAUACAAAUGAUUGAUCUGAUAUUAUAUUGGUUAUACAAAUGAUUGAUCUGAUAUUAUAUUGGUUAUAGAAAUGAUUGAUCUGAUAUUAUAUUGGUUAUACAAAUGAUUGAUCUGAUAUUAUAUUGGUUAUUGGUGAUACCAUGUCUCAUCAUCAGAUCAUCAUUUUAACCAGUCUGUCAACACCAAAGUGAAGGUUUUUAGAAAAGGUAGACAACACACACACCCUCCCUCACCUGCACCACGUAGGCAGAUAUGAGUCGGAGGUCAGAGUCCACCAUCUUCCCAUCGAUCAGAACCUGACCAAACUUCAACCCUGCUGGGUUCUUACGACCUGCUAUCACAUCCAGGAGACUAGGGAGAGAGGAGAGGAGAGGAUGAGGAGAAGAGAGGAGAGGAUGAGGAGAGGAGAAGAGAGGAUGAAGAGAAGAAAAGAGAGGAGAGGAGAAGAGAUGAGAGGAUGAGGAGAAGAGAGGAGAAGAGAUGAGAGGAUGAAGAGAAGAGAGGAGAAGAGAUGAGAGGAUGAGGAGAAGAGAAGAGAGGAGAAGAGAUGAGAGGAUGAGGAGAAGAGAAGAGAAGAGAAGAGAAGAGAAGAGGAGAGGAUGAGAAGAGAGGAUGAAGAGAAGAGAAGAGAAGAUGAGAUGAGAUGAGAUGAGAUGAGAUGAGAUGAGAUGAGAAGAGAAGAGAAGAGAAGAGAAGAGAAGAGAAGAGAAGAGAAGAGAAGAGAAGAGAAGAGAAGAGAAGAGAAGAGGAGAGGAGAGGAGAGGAGAGGAGAGGAGAGGAGAGGAGAGGAGGAAAAGAGGGUGUGUGUGUAUGUGACUUACGAUGUUUUUCCACUUCCUGUUGGCCCCAUGAUGGCGUUCAUCCCUGGUCUCAUGAUGCCGCUGGAAAAGCCCAUCAGAAAUGAACAUGACACAGAACCACCAAUCAGAAAUUACCAUGACAUAGAACAACCAAUCAAAAGUGACCAUGCCAUAAAAUGACCAAUCAAGAGCAACUACCAUUACAAAGCAUAACCAAUUACUUGUGCUCAGGAACUUGUUAGCCUACAGAUAUAAAGCCUAGGUGUUAAGCACUGAGAGAGAGCAUAGUGAGGUCUAGGAAGAAGUAUAGUGUGUUGUGAACUACUGGAGUAUAGUCUGUCUGUCUGUCUGUCUGUCUGUCUGUCUGUUUCAGAUCUCACAUCAGGUCAAGGGGAGUGGUCAACACCAGAUAACAUCAGGUCAAGGGGAGUGGUCAACGCCAGAUAACAUCAGGUCAACACCAGAUAACAUCAGGUCAAGGGGAGUGGUCAACACCAGAUGACAUCAGGUGAAGGGGAGUGGUCAGCGUCAGAUAACAUCAGGUCAAGGGGAGUGGUCAACGCCAGAUAACAUCAGGUCAAGGGGAGUGGUCAACACCAGAUAACAUCAGGUCAAGGGGAGUGGUCAACACCAGAUAACANNNNNNNNNNGAGAAAUGGAGAGGUAGAGAGAGAGGUAGAGAGAGGUAGAGAGAGUUGAAGAGAGUUAGAGAGAGAGGGGUAGAGAGAGAGAGGUAGAGAGAGAGAGAGAGAGGGAGAGGUAGAGAGAGAGAGAGAGGGAGAGAGAUAGAGAGAGAGGUAGAGAGAGGGAGAGGUAGAGAGAGAGGUAGAGAGAGAGGGAGAGGUAGAGAGAGAGGUAGAGAGAGAGGUAGAGACAGAUAGACAGACAGAGCAUUUUGUUACGUUGGAUAUUCAAAUGAUUGAUCUGAUAUUAUAUUGGUUAUAGAAAUGAUUGAUCUGAUAUUA
rnacentral:lncRNA from 13 species